UUCACUCAAAACUAACCCUAGUUUGUAACAUAGCAAGCAGCGGCGCUCUCUCUCUCUCUCACUCACAAAUUCAAGUUCAACCAUGAACUCACUCUCAAUCACAACUCACUAUUGUCACCACCGUUUCUCUAACUCUUUACUUUACUCUGUUUUUCGUUUUUCUUGUUUAUUUGUCUAACUUGCUUAUUUCGUUUUUCUUGUUUAUUUGACUAACUUGUUUAUUUCGUUUUUCUUUUACAACUCUUAAUUGAAAUACUAAUGAAUUUAUUUUUUAUUUUAAAUACUGAAGGAGUAAGAAAGUCACACAAACGUCACAAAGUCACAAACUUCCCUCUGAUGCACAACAUUGACAUAGAUCUGAAAAAUGGUAAGCUAUUCUAACUUGUAUUUUAACUCUGUUGUUGUGUUUUUUUGAAGUUAUUUAAGAUUUGUUCUUUUUUAUUCAAGUUUUAUUCUUUUUUAAGUUAUUUAAGAUUACUUUGUUCUUUUUAAAUUUUUGUCUUUUAAGUUCUGUUUUAUUUAGUUAAGUUUAGGUUUAGCCUCUUUUUUUUUUAACAUUGUAUUCUGUUUGUAUUAUUGUUGUUAUUUAAGUUUAAUGAAUAUAAUUUCCUUUAUUGAUUUUGCUAUAAAACCUUGAUAACAAGUAAAUAACUCAAUUUUUGUUUGUUUUUUUCUAGCUCAACUCAAUGGUGGCUGGUGGCAGCAAUCAACAAUUAUGAAAGAAUGUCAUUUUCAUUUUCAUAUUUUUAAUGAGCUGUAAUAUACAUUUGUAAUGGUCUGUAAAAUAUCUACCUAUCUCUUUGUAGUACUAAGCUGAACUUGAUACCAAAAAUUGAAUGUUUGAAUGAGAUGAUAGUCAAGCAGGAAGGAACCUGAAUAUGAAUUUGAAAAUAAGUAGUGCAAAACAUAAAUUAGC
rnacentral:lncRNA from 1 species